rnacentral:rRNA from 1 species
AGAGUUUGAUCCUGGCUCAGGACGAACGCUGGCGGCGUGCUUAACACAUGCAAGUCGAACGGAGGAUACAUUGAAACGCAAGUCGAUAUGUAACCUUAGUGGCGGACGGGUGAGUAACGCGUGGAUAACCUGCCUAUCUGACCGGGACAACACCUGGAAACGGGUGCUAAUACCGGAUACGCUCAUCUAGUCAAAAGAAUAGAUGAGGAAAAGGGGAAACCCGCAGACAGAUGGGUCCGCGUCCCAUUAGCUAGUUGGAGGUGUAAGAGACCCCCAAGGCGACGAUGGGUAGCCGGCCUGAGAGGGUGACCGGCCACACUGGAACUGAGACACGGUCCAGACUCCUACGGGAGGCAGCAGUGGGGAAUCUUCCGCAAUGGGCGCAAGCCUGACGGAGCAACGCCGCGUGAGUGAAGAAGGCCUUCGGGUUGUAAAACUCUGUCAUCAGGGAAGAAGAAAGUGACGGUACCUGAGGAGGAAGCCCCGGCUAACUACGUGCCAGCAGCCGCGGUAAAACGUAGGGGGCGAGCGUUGUCCGGAAUUACUGGGCGUAAAGGGCGCGUAGGCGGUUAUCCAAGUCAGGGGUGAAAACCUUGGGCUCAACUCAGGGCCUGCCUCUGAAACUGGGUAACUUGAGGGCAGGAGAGGGGAGUGGAAUUCCCAGUGUAGCGGUGAAAUGCGUAGAUAUUGGGAGGAACACCAGUGGCGAAGGCGGCUCUCUGGCCUAACCCUGACGCUGAGGCGCGAAAGCGUGGGGAUCAAACAGGAUUAGAUACCCUGGUAGUCCACGCCGUAAACGAUGGGUGCUAGGUGUAGGAGGUAUCGACCCCUUCUGUGCCGUAGUUAACACAAUAAGCACCCCGCCUGGGGAGUACGGCCGC